rnacentral:rRNA from 1 species
UACGAAAGGUGCAAGCGUUAAUCGGAAUUACUGGGCGUAAAGCGUACGUAGGCGGUUGAUUAAGCAGGAUGUGAAAGCCCCGAGCUCAACUUGGGAACUGCAUCCUGAACUGGUCAACUAGAGUACAGCAGAGGAGAGUGGAAUUUCUCGUGUAGCGGUGAAAUGCGUAGAUAUGAGAAGGAACACCAGUGGCGAAGGCGACUCUCUGGGUUGAUACUGACGCUGAGGUACGAAAGCGUGGGGAGCAAACAGG